CAACGAAUCUUCCGCAAUGCACGAAAGUGUGACGGAGCAAUGCCGCGUGCGGGAUGAAGCGGCUCUGCCGUGUAAACCGCUGUCAGGACCAAGGAAUACUGACCUGGUCCAAAGGAAGGGCCGGCUAAUCUCGUGCCAGCAGCCGCGGUAAUACGAGAGGCCCGAGCGUUAUUCGGAAUCACUGGGCUUAAAGGGUGCGUAGGCGGCUAUGUAGGCGUCCUGUGAAAUCCCACGGCUCAACCGUGGAAUUGCGGGGCGAACCACAUAGCUUGAACCUGGUAGGGGCUGUCGGACGAUCGGUGGAGCGGUGAAAUGCGUAGAUAUCGAUCGGAACGCCGAAGGUGAAGACGGGCAGCUGGGCCAGAGUUGACGCUGAGGCACGAAAGCGUGGGGAUCAAACAGGAUUAGAUACCCUGGUAGUCCACGCCGUAAACGAUGUGCACUAGACCGGGGCGGUUUUGACGCCGUCCUGGUCGUAGGG
rnacentral:rRNA from 1 species